UACGGGGGGGGCAAGCGUUGUUCGGAAUUACUGGGCGUAAAGGGCGCGUAGGCGGCCUGCUAAGUCGGAUGUGAAAUCCCUCGGCUCAACCGAGGAACUGCAUCCGAUACUGGCGGGCUUGAAUCCGGGAGAGGGAUGUGGAAUUCCAGGUGUAGCGGUGAAAUGCGCAGAUAUCAGGAGGAACACCAGCGGCGAAGGCGGCGCUCUGGGCCGGAACUGACGCUGAGGAGCGAAAGCGUGGGUAGCAAACAGG
rnacentral:rRNA from 1 species